rnacentral:rRNA from 1 species
GAUGAGCGCUGGCGGCGUGCCUAAUACAUGCAAGUCGAGCGAACGGAUAAGGAGCUUGCUCCUUUGAAGUUAGCGGCGGACGGGUGAGUAACACGUGGGUAACCUACCUAUAAGACUGGAAUAACUUCGGGAAACCGGAGCUAAUGCCGGAUAACAUUUGGAACUGCAUGGUUCUAAAGUAAAAGAUGGUUUUGCUAUCACUUAUAGAUGGACCCGCGCCGUAUUAGCUAGUUGGUAAGGUAACGGCGUACCAAGGCAACGAUACGUAGCCGACCUGGGAGGUUGAUCGGCCACACUGGAACUGAGACACGGUCCAGACUCCGACGGGAGGCAGCAGUAGGGAAUCUUCCGCAAUGGACGAAAGUCUGACGGAGCAACGCCGCGUGAGUGAUGAAGGUUUUCGGAUCGUAAAACUCUGUUAUUAGGGAAGAACAAAUGUGUAAGUAACUGUGCACAUCUUGACGGUACCUAAUCAGAAAGCCACGGCUAACUACGUGCCAGCCGCCGCCGUAA